GAAGGAUCAUUAAUGAAUAACU
rnacentral:rRNA from 1 species